CGUGUAGGCGGGAAUACAAGUCAGAUGUGAAAUACUGCGGCUCAACUGCAGAACGGCAUCUGAAACUGUAUUUCUUGAGUACUGGAGAGGAAAGCGGAAUUCCUAGUGUAGCGGUGAAAUGCGUAGAUAUUAGGAGGAACACCGGUGGCGAAGGCAGCUUUCUGGACAGUAACUGACGCUGAGACGCGAAAGCGUGGGGAGCAAACAGGAUUAGAUACCCUGGUAGUCC
rnacentral:rRNA from 1 species